rnacentral:rRNA from 1 species
CCUACGGGGGGCAGCAGUGGGGAAUAUUGCGCAAUGGGCGAAAGCCUGACGCAGCGACGCCGCGUGAGGGAUGAAGGUCUUCGGAUCGUAAACCUCUGUCAGCAGGGAAGAACGGUCACUGUGCUAAUCAGCAGUGAAUUGACGGUACCUGCAAAGGAAGCACCGGCUAACUCCGUGCCAGCAGCCGCGGUAAUACGGAGGGUGCGAGCGUUAAUCGGAAUUACUGGGCGUAAAGCGCUCGUAGGCGGUAUGUCAAGUCAAGGGUGAAAUCCCCGCGCUCAACGUGGGAACUGCCUUUGAAACUGGCAAACUGGAGUGUGUGAGAGGAUAGUGGAAUUCCAGGUGUAGGAGUGAAAGCCGUAGAUAUCUGGAGGAACAUCAGUGGCGAAGGCGACUAUCUGGCACAUAACUGACGCUGAGGAGUGAAAGCGUGGGUAGCAAACAGGAUUAGAUACCCUAGUAGUC